rnacentral:pre_miRNA from 1 species
CAACUACUCCCUCUGUCCCAAAUUUCUUGUCUUAGAUUUGUCUAGAUACGGAUGUAUCUAAUACUAAAAUGUGACUUNAUACUAAAAUGUGACUUGAUACAUUCGUAUCUAGACAAAUCUAAGACAAGAAUUUUGGGACGGAGGGAGUACUUU